rnacentral:rRNA from 1 species
UACGUAGGGGGCAAGCGUUAUCCGGAAUUACCGGGUGUAAAGGGAGCGUAGACGGUAAUGUAAGUCUGGAGUGAAAGGCGGGGGCCCAACCCCCGGACUGCUCUGGAAACUAUGUUACUAGAGUGCAGGAGAGGUAAGCGGAAUUCCUAGUGUAGCGGUGAAAUGCGUAGAUAUUAGGAGGAACACCAGUGGCGAAGGCGGCUUACUGGACUGUAACUGACGUUGAGGCUCGAAAGCGUGGGGAGCAAACAGG